rnacentral:rRNA from 1 species
AUGCACGCUGGCGGCGUGCCUCAUACAUGCAAGUCGAGCGAACAGACGAGGAGCUUGCUCCUCUGACGUUAGCGGCGGACGGGUGAGUAACACGUGGAUAACCUACCUAUAAGACUGGGAUAACUUCGGGAAACCGGAGCUAAUACCGGAUAAUAUAUUGAACCGCAUGGUUCAAUAGUGAAAGACGGUUUUGCUGUCACUUAUAGAUGGAUCCGCGCCGCAUUAGCUAGUUGGUAAGGUAACGGCUUACCAAGGCAACGAUGCGUAGCCGACCUGAGAGGGUGAUCGGCCACACUGGAACUGAGACACGGUCCAGACUCCUACGGGAGGCAGCAGUAGGGAAUCUUCCGCAAUGGGCGAAAGCCUGACGGAGCAACGCCGCGUGAGUGAUGAAGGUCUUCGGAUCGUAAAACUCUGUUAUUAGGGAAGAACAAAUGUGUAAGUAACUAUGCACGUCUUGACGGUACCUAAUCAGAAAGCCACGGCUAACUACGU